GCUUUCGCGGUGUAGUGGUCAGCACGCUGGGCGCGUAUUCCAGAGGUCCGUGGUUCGAGUCCCGGCGAAGGCA
rfam:Stegodyphus mimosarum contig12723, whole genome shotgun sequence.